GGCCAGACUCCUACGGGAGGCAGCAGUGGGGAAUAUUGCACAAUGGGGGAAACCCUGAUGCAGCGACGCCGCGUGAGCGAUGAAGUAUUUCGGUAUGUAAAGCUCUAUCAGCAGGGAAGAAGAUGACGGUACCUGACUAAGAAGCCCCGGCUAACUACGUGCCAGCAGCCGCGGUAAUACGUAGGGGGCAAGCGUUAUCCGGAUUUACUGGGUGUAAAGGGGGCGCAGACGGCAGCGCAAGCCAGGAGUGAAAGCCCGGGGCCCAACCCCGGGACUGCUCUUGGAACUGCGUGGCUGGAGUGCAGGAGGGGCAGGCGGAAUUCCUGGUGUAGCGGUGAAAUGCGUAGAUAUCAGGAGGAACACCGGUGGCGAAGGCGGCCUGCUGGACUGCAACUGACGUUGAGGCCCGAAAGCGUGGGGAGCAAACAGGAUUAGAUACCCCAGUA
rnacentral:rRNA from 1 species